CUUUGACCUCAAAUCAGGUAGGGACUACCCGCUGAACUUAAGCAUAUCAAUAAGCGGAGGAAAAGAAACCAACAGGGAUUGCCUCAGUAGCGGCGAGUGAAGCGGCAAAAGCUCAAAUUUGAAAUCUGGCGUCUUUGGCGUCCGAGUUGUAAUUUGAAGAAGGUAUCUUUGGGCCCGGCUCUUGUCUAUGUUCCUUGGAACAGGACGUCACAGAGGGUGAGAAUCCCGUGCGAUGAGAUGGCCCGGGUCUAUGUAAAGUUCCUUCGACGAGUCGAGUUGUUUGGGAAAUGCA
rnacentral:rRNA from 1 species